UACGUAGGUGGCAAGCGUUGUCCGGAUUUACUGGGCGUAAAGAGCGCGCAGGCGGUUAUUCAAGUCGAAUGUGAAAGCCCCCGGCUCAACUGGGGAGGGUCACGCGAUACUGAUCGACUCGAAGGCAGGAGAGGGUAGUGGAAUUCCCGGUGUAGUGGUGAAAUGCGUAGAUAUCGGGAGGAACACCAGUGGCGAAGGCGACUACCUGGCCUGUUUCUUGACGCUGAGGCGCGAAAGCUAGGGGAGCAAACGGG
rnacentral:rRNA from 1 species